ACAUGCAACUGAAAACCCAAAUUCAUGCCCUUGUUCUUCUCCAAAUCAGUGAAGUGAAAGCUCCUCAAAAACCCUACUCAUUUGUUGAUGAACUCUAACAGUCAAUAUUGGAGAUCCGUCCCCACAAUCGAACCCAGUUGUUCAAUAUUUACACAUUAUGCACAUGGAGAGACCACUUGAAGGGAAUGAUGAAAACGCUCUAGAUGGGACUGAAAAUUCCUCAAACGAGGACCCAAUCUUCACUGAUUCUGGUAAUGAGUUAGACUCUAGAGAAGACGAUAAUUUAUAUGAACGCAAUGUGACAGAUGAGAUUGAGGUUGGUUUGAACGUGGGUGAAUUGAAUGAUGUGAAUGAGCAUGAUGUUGAAGUUGAUGCUGAGAUUGAUGAUUUAGAGUACACUUCAUCUGAGGAGCUUGUGUCUGUUGUUCAUCUGAUGAUGAUGUUGGGUAUCAAUUUCCACAGUUUUGGGUAGAGGCUAACAUGAGUAAUCCACAAUUCGUUGUUGGUCAGCUCUUUAAGGAUGUUGUAGAGUUUUGAAAGGCAGUAAGGACUUACGGAGCUUUGAAUGGGUAUAAUGUCAAAUUUAAGGCUAACGAUGGGACACGAGUAUAGGGAAUUUGCAAACCUAGUUGUAAUUGGAUGAUAUGGGCAUCCAUUGUAGGUCGGAUAGGAAGUCUCCAAGUUAAGUCGUAUUCUCCGAAUCACACAUGCAGCCGAGACCAAUACAACAGACAUUGCAAUUAUGUCUUCCUGACUAACUGUUAUAUUGAGCAGUUUAAGGCAGACUCGAAAUGGAAGACUAAGAGUAUACUUGCGACAGUGAAGGAUGAUUUGAAGACUGAUAUUACUCGAAAUGUGGCAUGGAAAAUGAGACGGUAUGCAAAGGAAUUAUUGCAUGGAAAAAUUGACGAGCAAUUUGGUAAGUUGUGGUGUUAUGUUGCAGAGGUUUUAAGGACUAACCCGGGUUCAACAGUCAUCAUUGCCAACCACAAUCAAGUUUUCCAAGGAAUCUAUAUCUGUUUCGAAGUAUGCAAUAAGGGUUUUGUCAAUGGUUGUAGAAAAGUUAUCGGAGUUGAUGGCUGCCAUUUGCGUGGAUGUUUUAGUGAAAUAAUGUUGACAGUUGUUGGUCAUGAUGCGAAUGGCUGCAUAUAUCCCAUUGCGUGCACCGUAGUUCAAAAAGAGAACCUUAGCUUGGAGGUGGUUCAUGACACAUCUAGAAAGUGACGUUCAUAUUGGCAAUGGAAGUGGCUGGACUAUAAUGACAAAUCGCCAAAAGGGAAUGCAAAAUGUUGUCAACGAAUUAUUUCUGGUUGCCGAGCAUAGGAUUUGCGUACGCCACAUGUACUCUAACUUUUUUAGCGCCGGCUUCAAAGGAAAAACAUUGAAGGACUAUCUUUGGUGUGCCGCAAAGUCUACUACUAUUUCAGAUUAUACACAUUAGAUGCAACAAAUACGAAAUGUGAGCGAAGAUGCUUUCAAGUGGUUGAUGGAAAGACCACCCUGUGAAUGGAGUAAAUCACACUUUGGAGCGCAGUCAAAGUGUGACAUCUUGUUGAACAACGGCUGUGAGGUUUUCAACAAGACUCUAUUAGAAGACCGCAAGAAAAUGAUUUUGGACAUGUUGACAUCCAUACAGUUAACAUUUAUGAAGCGAAUUCAGUUGAGGCGAGAUAAAAUGAGUGGUUAUGAAGGUUGAAUUUGUCCUAAGAUCAAAAGAAGAGUGCACUCUAUUGUUGAGAGAUCAAGAGAGUGCAUAGUACAUUUUUCUAGUGGUCCUAAAUGGAAAGUCAAUUGUAGUUAUGGUACAUAUGUGGUUGACCUCGAGGAAAGAAGUUGUGCUUGUAGACGUUGGGAGUUGACGGGAAUACCGUGUAUACACACUAUGACAGUCUUUUUGCACUGUAGGAACGACCUUGAAGAAUAUGUCAACAAUUGUUACACUAACGAGUCUUAUUUGAAUUGCUAUAGAAACAUCUUGAGCCCUAUUAAUGGUCGAAGCAUGUGGGCAGAGGUUGAAGCGGAACCGAUUAAGCCACCAAACUAGACAGUUACAACUAAAGGACGAAGACAGACUAAAAGAAGGAAAAACGCAGAGGAAGUCGUGGUGCAUACGCAAGGGAGAUCGUAUGUUAGAAAAAAUGGACAAGUAAUAAUGACAUGCUCCAUUAGCAGUGUGCGUGGACACAACACAAGGCAUCAUUCCACACCAUAUGUUGUACUAGAUGUAAGUCAUUUUAUAUUAUGAGCAGUUUUGAAAUGUAUGACCUUUGACUGAUGUUUUCCAUUUAUUAUUGUAGGACAUGUUGGAUGCUCCUUUGUCAGAGGUUGAAUCCCAACCAACCACGAAGUACUUGCAAGCGGAAAAUUGUCUACUAGCAGAUGCAAUCAUCCAUCGACAAGUCGAUCACCUGACGCUAAUGAUUCGAAUAUACUACCAACUGCUGGAAAUGAAAGACGGACUGAUAGACCAACAAAAACAUUGGAAGGAAUGGUUGAUAUGCUACAAGAAAUACAAGCUCAUGAGUCCUCAUAAUUACGGGCUGCUAGAGUUCACGCACGACGACAUGCAAACACAAUUGCAGCUACAUCUCGUACAUCAUGGAAUCGUGGAUAGCUUUGAAUGAAAACAACUUUUGUAGGUUUUGGACCAAUGACUAUAGCUUUGUCAAUGUGGAUAACUCGGAAGUAGACAGUUUUAUGGGUUGAAAUUGAAUGGUCAAGGAAAUGUAUAUAUAGCUUGAUGUGUUUGAAUAUUUUUGGAGAUGAUCUUUAUGUUAUGAAAAUUAUCCAAAUAUUACCUUAUGGAAAGUUUCUUUAUUUA